rnacentral:rRNA from 1 species
AUUGAACGCUGGCGGCAGGCCUAACACAUGCAAGUCGAGCGGAUGAAGGGAGCUUGCUCCUGGAUUCAGCGGCGGACGGGUGAGUAAUUCCUAGGAAUCUGCCUGGUAGUGGGGGAUAACGUCCGUAAACGGGCGCUAAUACCGCAUACGUCCUGAGGGAGAAAGUGGGGGAUCUUCGGACCUCACGCUAUCAGAUGAGCCUAGGUCGGAUUAGCUAGUUGGUUGGGUAAAGGCCUACCAAGGCGACGAUCCGUAACUGGUCUGAGAGGAUGAUCAGUCACACUGGAACUGAGACACGGUCCAGACUCCUACGGGAGGCAGCAGUGGGGAAUAUUGGACAAUGGGCGAAAGCCUGAUCCAACCAUGCCGCGUGUGUGAAGAAGGUCUUCGGAUUGUAAAGCACUUUAAGUUGGGAGGAAGGGCAGUAAGUUAAUACCUUGCUGUUUUGACGGUACCAACAGAAUAAGCACCGGCUAACUUCGCG